UGAUUUGACCCCUAGCCUGGGAACUUAAUGUAUGCCGUAUGCCAUGAGUGUGGCCCUAAAAAGGCAAAAGGCCAAAAAAAAAAAAAAAGAAAGAAAGAAAGAAAGAAAACAUAUAAACACUGUAGCAACAGUAAGUGCACUUCCAAUGAAAUGGGGAAAAUAUUCACCAAUAAUCCCUAGAUGUGAGAUGGGCACAUUGUGGGGUAGACAGUUGGUACAGUCUUACAGAGUCGGCUAUGGCAAAUUGGCAGAGCGAGUAGGCUCGAGCACCAGCAUUGCUUGGGAUUUGAUUCCUGGUUCCUGCACUUAUGAGCUAUGUGACCUCAGUGCCUGGUACAAAGCAAGCACUUCAUAUCAAUUAGCUAUCAUCAUUAUUAUUCUCUCGGUCUGGACCUUCCAGGCUGCCUGUACAGCUGGGCACCUUCUGGUGUCCCCUCUCUCACUGCUGGUGUUUCUCAUUACCCAGUGAUCCCCGAGGCAAAUGGAACUAUGUAGCAGAUACUACAUAUUAAAGGCUUUUUACAUAUUAACUUUAAUAUUCACAAUUACCUUCAAUUAUAGCCUGAUGAUCCUGAGUUCUGGCUUACUGAUCAGCUGGGAAGGAAUCUGGAUUCAGAUUCUACAUCUCUUUUUCCUGUGUUAUCUUUGGCAAGUCACUUCACAUCUCUGGGCUUCAGUUUCUAUAUUUGGUAAAUGAUGAGAGUCAUUCCUAUUUCAUAGGGUCACUGAGGGUUUAAGUAAGGUAGGGCAUAUGAAAGCAUUUCGCACACACAGUGCUUGGCACAUAGUAUAUGUUUAAAAGAUGUUUAUUACUAUUAUAUCCAUUUUGCAGAGAGGAAAUUGAGCCUUAGCUGAAGUUCUUGCCCAAGGUCAUAAAUCUGAUGUUGAAAGAAGGUGGGCCAAAACAAUGUUCUUUGUUAUUUCCUUCCAACCUAUAUACAUGAUUUUUGUGCAAUUCCUAUUGUAUGAUAAGAGUACAGACAUGAUGUGGUAUUUUUAAAAAUUGCACAAUGAUGGAAGGUAAUAUGAGAAAAAGAAUAUAUACAUAUAUAUAAGUAAAUAUUAUAUAUAUAUAAAAACUGUGUCACUAUGCUGUAAGCACCAUAAAUCAACUAUAAUAAAAUUAAAAUUUAGGAGUUCCCGUCAUGGCUCAGUGAUAACGAACCUGACUAGUAUCCAUGAGGAUGUGGGUUUGAUCCCUGGCCCUGUUCAAUGGGUUAAGGAUCUAACAUUGCCGAGAGCUGUGGUGUAGGUCAAAGAGGAGGCUUGGAUCUGGCGGUGCUGUGGCUGUGGUGUAAGCCAACAGCUGCAUCUCUGAUUUAACCCCUAGCAUGGGAGCUUCCAUAUGCUGCUCCUGUGGCCCUAAAAUAAAUAAAUAAAUAUAAAAAUAAAUUUAAAAAAGGUACAAACACAAAUUGCACAUUAAAGAAUAAGUAAUUUUCAUAUUGCUGUGGCAAUAUGAAAACCUGACUAUAUAAUAUUCCACAAAAUAAUCCAGCAUCUUCAUGCUGAUUAUUUCCUUUCCUUCUCUUGAACUUUUUCUUUAGGAUUAAUCCCCAGAAAUGGAAUUUGAUACAUCAGAGGGUGUUAACCUUAUUUUGAUUCUGGAUCACAGAACAUCUUGCUGCUUUUCUAAAGAGUUUUGCAAUAGUCAUUGUGUUCGUGUGCUGUAAUUUACUUUCUAGUCUCCUAGAAAUACUUGAACAUUGAAAAAGAAUGAAUAACCUUGUUAUAGAUAAGUCGUCUCCAGGCUGAAAAGGAGUGAAUAGGUUGGGGUUAGAUGAUAAUCCUGUCUGAAAACCUGUGACUAAGUAACCCCAGUUCCUGGAUGUGGGUAUAUAGGUCUUGUCUACUAGAUACGGUGCUGACAUCCCCUGGUUGAGGAGUGCAUAUGUGAUCUAUAAAUGUCCAGCUCAGGCUCUGGGCAUCUGAGGGGCCGAGUAUUACCAGGAGGGUAUGCCUUGUUUCCUGGGUCCUGCGGAUCACCUGGCUCACCUCCAGAAGAGGCCUCUUGCUCUUAAAGAAACCUGGAUCUGAGGUGCAGGUGCCCAAGUGGGAGGCACUCUUCAUAUUCUUUACUCAGGGUGUGGAGUCCAAGAGAACAGAACUCACAUCCUUCUUCCUUCACUAUUCAUCUUGGGAAUCUACAGAAAGCUUUGAGAGCCUGUUUCUUUAUCUAUACCAGGAGGAGGGUGAUAAGGUAGAUCAUAAAUAUUUAACAAGCCUUCAAAUGUCUUCUGUGUUAAAUCACACCCCUCUCAAACAACUCUAUGGAGGAGGUAUUGUCACUAUUCUCAUUUUACAAAUGAGAAAACUGAGGUACAGACUGGUUAAAUAACUUACAUUCAGUAAGUGGAGGAGCCAGGGUUUGAACCCAGGCUCUUGGGCUCUAGCGCUUCAAUACCAUGCACAAUGCUGAGUAAUAUGGGGAGUCAAAAGCCUUAGCUUUAAGGGCUCUUGUGAGGAUUGGGGAUGAUGGCACAUCAGGUGUAUGGCUUCUGGUUGUGCUGUUGUACAGAAAUGGUCACUCUUACUAUUUGUUAAUGACUUCCAUAUUACCCAACCCAAUAAACACUUUUCUGUUUUUGUUUUUCCUGACUUCUCAAUAGCUUUAAAAGGAGUUGACCAUUUCCUCUUUUUUUUUUUUUUAGACUCAUAGGUCAUGGGGUUGGUUUUUCCUCUUUAUCUCUCUCUUUCUUUUUUUUUUUUUUUUCAAUUUAAACAGUUAUGCACCAGAGUGAUUCAAAAAGUUGGGCAAAUGCCUUGAAUAUGAAAGCUGCAGUUUGCACUAUACCAUAUCUAGAACCCAGGGGCGGUGGAUUAGACAGAAGUGAUAGUCAUUGAACAGUCAGGUGACAUCAUGACAAAUUGGUUUGCAGCAUCAAAACUGUCCGUUGAAGUUUCUUUUCUCUUGACUAUCAGAGGUCCUGUGUUGGCUCGUCUCCUCAUCUUUGUGUUUUGUGUAUGAUCCAUCACAGAAUGGGAACUUUUUGGCCUCCAACAACCUUGGUACACAGCCUUAUCUCUCAAAUCCUCCACAUCAAAAGCAUUCACUGUCUUGGAGUUUUCUUUCUGGUUAUGAAGGUUGCCCAUAGAUUUGCUGCAAUGAUCUUUAACAUAAAAUCUAUUGUAAACUAGGUAACCAAUUGAAGCUGUCCCGUCCCAGCAGUAAUGGUAAUGACUGUGAUCCAUUUGACUUGUGAACUGGAGGUCAGACUUGUGGCACCACCACUUUGAAGGUGUGUACACUGGACACUGAACACAAGCAUGGCUUGUACGGCCAACCUGAGUCAAGGUGCGAGAAGCAUUUCAAGGGCACUGACUCCAAGCUGCUCCCUUCUUGAAACACUUUUUUCUUCUGGCUUUAGUGACAGCCACUCUUGAGAGUUUGCAUUUAUUCCACUGGCUCUUCCUGUUCAGCCUCUUUCCCUCUCUCUUCUAUCAAUGGAUGAAAGUUGGUGCAAAAGAUAAACUUGCUCCCCUUUGUAGUCGAAGAGCAUGGUUACUUAGUGAGGAAGGUGGAACAGCCAGGAACCUGGAUGGGUGGCUGAAGGCACUGGAUGGGAGGGAAUGUCUCCAGUGACUCAGAAGCUGCCCAAGAUACACUGGCGAGUUUCAUCCCUCCUGGCCCAGAGCACCUUCCAAACCUGACUUCUGCUCUUAUCAAUCCCACCUGAGGUAUAGGAGUUGCUGUAUAUAAACGAUCUUGAUCUCAGGGAAAGCUCUGGAGACCUGGGGUUUUAGAAGAAUUACUAACAGCGGUUAAUAUUUUCAUUCACAGACAGAAAAUGGAAUUUAAUUAAACAGAUUUUCUUCCCCUUGAACUGUUCAUGCCAAAUCUUCAGAGACUCAUGCUCAUUGCUAAAAAAAUGUUUUUACUCCUUAACGUUGGGAGCAUGGGAUAUAAGAAGACACACUGUGAGGAGGUUUAAGAAAUGCUAUUUUAUUAUCUUGCUUAGGUUAAAAAAAAAUCCCACUUAAAUUCUAAGAAAAAAAAAAAAGAGUCAUGCAUUAAUCAGAAAGCAGGCCUCCUAGAAACAGCUGUGAAAAAGGCUAAACUAAAAGGGGGGAAGAAUGACAGCUUUAUUCCAGAUAUGAAUCUCAACACUGCUCAGCACAGGCAAUGCAUAAAAUUGCUGUAGGGCAAGCAGACAUGAUGGCUUAUUUAUUUAAUUGAGUUGAGAGAAUCAUAAUUUCUUUUAAGCCUCUGAGCAAAAUGUAAUGUAUUUUAGCACUCAGGAAUAAUGUUCAGGGAAGUCAUAGGGCAGAAAACUAUUUGAAUGAGAAUGGGGUCCUCUGUUUAUCAGGCUAAUGGAAGUGAAGGGGCAGGGGAAAGUUAGGGAGUUUUUGAUUAUUCCUUGUUCUUCACCUCUCAGAUCCAUCUUCUUCCCUGCUCUGUGCCUCAGCAGUGGGUUCUCUCCAGCCUCUUCCCUCUAGCUUCAGGUCAGGUCCAGGCAACAGAAAACACCAGCAGGAGAUUAGGAGGCGGAAGGAGAGAGGUCAGAGUAUUUAUACCUCCUCACUGUGGUUCUGUUCUUCCAAGGCAGUGGUUCUCAAAGAUUGGGCAGCACACCAGCAGCAUCAGCAUCUCCCAGGAGCUUCUUAGAAAUGCAAGUUCUGGAGUUCCUGCUGUGGUGCAACAGGAUAGGUGGUGUCUCUGGAGCACUGGGUCUCAGGUUCAGUCUCCCACCCAAUGGAUUAUGGAUCUGGUGUUGCCGCAGUGUUGGCAUAUGUCUCAGCCACAGCUCAGAUCUGAUCCCGGGUCCAGGAACUCCAUAUGCUGUGGGGAGGUCAAAAAAGAAAAUAAAGAAAGAGAAAUAUAUAUACAUGCAAAAAUUUUCUUUUUUUAAAAAAAUUACUCAAUGACUUUUAGUACAUUUAUAGUUGUACAGUGAUCAUCACAACCCGAUUUCAUAGCAUUUCCAUCCCAAACCUCUGGCCCAUUCCUUACCCCACAACCUGUCUCAUUUGGAAACCAUACGUUUUUCAAAGUCUGUGAGUCAGUAUCUGUUCUGCAAAGAAGUUCAAUGUGUCCUUUUUUUAGAUGCCACAUGUAAGUGAUAGCAUUUGAUGCUGGUGUCUCACUGUCUGACUGACUUCACUUAGCAUGAUAAUUUCUAAGUCCGUCCAUGUUGCCAAAAAUGCUGGUAUUUCAUUCAUUUUAAUGGCUGAGUAAUAUUCCAUUGUGUAUAUGUACCACAUCCUCUUUAUCCACUCCUCUGUCAAUGGAUAUUUCCAUGUCUUGGCUAUUGUAUAUAUUGCUGCAAUGAACAUUGGAGUACAUGUAUCUUUUCAGGUCAUGGUUAUCUCUGGAUAGAUGCCCAGGAGUGGGAUUGGUGGAUCAAAUGGUAAUUCUAUUUUUAUCUAAGGAAUCUCCAUAAUGUUUUCCACAGUGGUUGCACCAAUUUACAUUCCCACCAACAGUGCAAUAGGCUUCCCUUUUCUCUAUACCCUCUUCACCAUUUAUUGUUUGUAGACUUUUUUGAUGAUGGCCAUUCCAGCCUGUGUAAGGUGGUACCUCAUAGUGGUUUUGGUUUGCAUUUCUCUAAUAAUGAGUGAUGUUGAACAUCUUUUCAUGUGUUUUUUGGCCAUCUGUAUGUCUUCUUUGGAGCAUUGUCUGUUUAGAUUUUCUGCCCAUUUUUUGAUGGGGUUGUUUUUUUGGUAUUGAGCUGUAGGAGGUGUUUAUAAAUUCUGGAGAUUAAUCCCUUUUCAGUUGAUUCAUUUGCAAAUAUUUCCUCCCAUUCUGUGGGUUGUCUUUUCAUUUUGUUUAGGGUUUCCUUUGCUGUGCAGAAACUUUUAAGCUUAAUUAAGUCACAUUUAUUAUUUAUGCAUAGGUUGCAACCACAGCUCAGAUCUGAUCCCUGGCCCAGGAAGUCCAUAUGCUGUGGAGAGGGCAAAAAAGAAAAGAAAGAAAGAAAGAAAGAAAAAAAAUAUAUAUGC
rnacentral:lncRNA from 1 species